GAGUCUCAAACAACAGCUCUGGACUCAGAGCUAAUAGACUUCCUGAGUCCAACCAAUUCAAGCAGCCAAUGAGGCAUCCUGGCAAAUGAGGACAUUUCUCCAGGGGAUGAGGCUGUCCUUGGUGCCCUUGCUCCCCUCUGCCAGCAGGAUAGGUUCUACUGUGGAGGAUUCACCACCAGACUGGGAAACAACAGCCUGGGCUCCAGAGUUGGACACUCACCACCAGACUGGGAAGUAACAGCCUGGGCUCCAGAGUCCACCACUCAUCCGUGCACAGAUGAGGAGCGGCCUCAUGAAGCUUCGGUGCGGUCUGGGACCCUAUCUCUUUUUGUAACGAGUUGUUUGGCAUGAGGUCCAGUCAGGAGGGCCCUUCGCAACUGGGCUCAAGGAACACAAAAAGGUCAACCUGUUUUUGUGAUUGUCUGUUGUUUUUCAAUAACUAAUGUACAGGAAUAGAUUGAAAUAGAGAUUUUUCUGAAACAGCGCUGGAUGAAUGCCUCAAGGGGCUCAAACAACCUGUUCCAGGACUUGGUGACUAUUGUUUGUGUUCAUGUUUAAUUGAGUUCAAAUUUAAUAUUUAACUUUUCCUCCACAAUGGGUGAGUUUGUAUUACUAUGUUUUACUGUCUCAUGAAUAAAAUCCUAAAAUAAAAGCCACAAAA
rnacentral:lncRNA from 1 species